AUUGAACGCUGGCGGUAGGCCUAACACAUGCAAGUCGAACGGCAGCACAGUAAUAGCUUGCUCUUACGGGUGGCGAGUGGCGGACGAGUGCUGAAAACAUCCGAAUCUACUUUUUCUUGGGGGAUAACGUAGGGAAACUUACGCUAAUACCGCAUACGACCUACGGGUGAAAGCAUGGGAUCUUCGGACCUCGCGCGAUUGAAUGAGCCGAUGUCGGAUUAGCUAGUUGGCGGGGUAAAGGCCCACCAAGGCGACGAUCCGUAGCUGGUCUGAGAGGAUGAUCAGUCACACUGGAACUGAGACACGGUCCAGACUCCUACGGGAGGCAGCAGUGGGGAAUAUUGGACAAUGGGCGCAAGCCUGAUCCAGCCAUACCGCGUGGGUGAAGAAGGCCUUCGGGUUGUAAAGCCCUUUUGUUGGGAAAGAAAAGCAGUAGGUUAAUACCCCGCUGUUCUGACGGUACCCAAAGAAUAAGCACCGGCUAACUUCGUG
rnacentral:rRNA from 1 species